rnacentral:lncRNA from 1 species
UGAGUACUAAGUGUAAUAUUAUUAUACUAUAGUUAUAUUUCCAAGAUCUUAGAGUAUAAAGCUAUAAUUGUAAGGUUGGUGAAAUUGCAAAAAUAUAAUUAAGUAAAAAAUAUAAUUAUUAAAUGCCAUUAUUAUAUAGCUAGGUAACAUAACUGCACAUUAUAAAUUAAAAAAAAGGUAUAUUGAAUACUUUAUUUUUUCUAGUAUAAGAAUUUAUUCUUUCCUGCAUGACAUAAGUGUGCUCUCUUGAACCUUAUUCAUCCGUAGCUCAGUCUAGUAUAUCUACAUUUGUUUUUAGUACACUUGUACCUACGAAUAGAAGUACUUGGUGGACAAUCAACAUCAGUUUUACAUUUAGUUGCUACUGCAAUCAUAAAACAUAAUAAAAUAGUGUUAUUAAAAUGAGAUAAAAUUAUGUAUUAACUAUGAACUAUAGAAGAAAAUAUGAAGAAAUAAAAUAAAAUUACCGGCACCAUCAAUAUUCUUUACAACAAGAAAUAGAAAAAUAAAUAAAAUCAUAACAUACACAGACUUGAGAAUUUUAGCCAUGUUUUUUUUUCUCUCUUUACAUGCAAGAAAUAGAAUAUUAUGUGACACUUUUAUAGUAUAGAAAGCACAUGUUGUGCUGAAAAAUUAAAUAUUUUUAGCGUCUAUGAAGUUGUAAUAAACCCUUCCUAAAAAUUAUAAUUAUUUUGAAG